rnacentral:rRNA from 1 species
UACGAAGGGGGCUAGCGUUGCUCGGAAUUACUGGGCGUAAAGGGUGCGUAGGCGGCUUUGUAAGUUAGAGGUGAAAGCCCGGAGCUUAACUCCGGAACUGCCUUUAAGACUGCAUCGCUAGAAUUGUGGAGAGGUGAGUGGAAUUCCGAGUGUAGAGGUGAAAUUCGUAGAUAUUCGGAAGAACACCAGUGGCGAAGGCGACUCACUGGACACAUAUUGACGCUGAGGUGCGAAAGCGUGGGGAGCAAACAGG